AUAAAAAUUAGAUUUGUUACAGAAAUUUUCAGUUGUUUUUUUUAUAUAAAUUCUUGUAGAAGCAUGAAAUGUACGAAAAUUAGUGCAUUUGAAGCGGUCGAACAAUAAACAUUCAUUGUUAC